UCGCUGCAAUGGCUUCGAAUCACGGUCAGGGUCCAAAACCAUAUCUCAAUAUGGCUCCAAUUCUGUCUCUGUUUUUUUUUUUCUUCGUUUAUUUUUUUGGCUGGAUAGUAUUAGAGAUAAUCAAGGAUAUUCGAUAUGACUAUUAUUGGAGAGAAUCGGGGAUAAUUUAUAUGAUUAUAAAUGAUAUGAUUUUAGGAGAUUGUCAUGGGAUCUUAUAUAUCAAGUAAUAAUAUUGUUUUUGAGUGCUUCUAGAGCGGGAUGCUAAAAAAUGUCACAGAAAAAGAAGAAGCUAAUGUGCAGAUCAGCGAAGAAGUAGAAGAAGCGGGGGUGGGGGGAGGGAAGGGAGCCGGGGGAGGUGUGUGUGAGCGUCGGCCGGCCCCACCCCCUCACCGUAGGGCCCGAGCCACCACUGCUGGAUCUCUCCCUCCCUCUCUUUCUCUUUUCCCACGUGAAGAGAUAAGAGGAGAUCCAACGGCGGUGGUCGGCGGCGGGCCACCACCGCCCAGACGAGGUCGCCGCACCGCCGGUGGCACCAGCGUCGAGAGGAUAUGAUGCUCGCGAGUUCAUAUUAGAUACGGAAAUGACAUACCUGGCAUUUAUCCAGCAGAGACUCUUUCGGUGGAGAGACACUAACGUAUUUAUGAGCCCAUUUCAUCACCAGGCGCAGGUUCACCAAGACCUGAGUGUUCUUCUCAGGCUCACUCGAAGAAGCCCCACCAAGAAGCUAGCGCAAUUACAGGGGGUUCGACAAGUCCUACUCUUCGUCCCCUUGGGGAUACAGUUAUGGCCUACCCUCUCGCAAGUCCUACCCUUCGUUCCCUUGGUGGUGCAGUGAUGGCCUACUUGCUCGAGGGCAAACUGGGUCCAUACCCGGUCGAGCCGAGCAAAGAAGAGACUUUGGAACGUUUCUAUUUCCAAACACCAGAUCAGGUGCCAAUUAGUGAGGCGAACAACCUGCUCCGGCAGCACGCAGGUCUCAUGACCUUCAUACACGAACACACAAAAUGGAUGUCAGAGCAACACAAGGCAGUACUUGACUGAAAAGAACUAGAAAUUGAGGAGCUACAGCGGGAGCUGGGCGACGCUAGGAGAAUGAUAUUGAAGAAUUGUCCCGGAUCAACAGAGAUCGAAGAGAGUUGCUUCUCAAAUGUGAACAUCGAUCAUCAUCAGCCUUGGUCCCACUACUAACUCUUUCAAAUCUGUUUGUUAGUAUAUGUAUUAUCCUCAACUAUUUUGCCGGCCUAAGCAAAUCUCCAACUUAUGUCUUCUCGAUCAGUUGGAUUUUGGGAGGAAAUCUGGCUUUAACUUAAUGCCGUUGUACAUAUAAUCAACUCCAGAUUAUCCCUCCCCUUUGCCUCUUGCUAGUGAAAUUCAG